rnacentral:rRNA from 1 species
UACAGAGGUCUCAAGCGUUGUUCGGAAUCACUGGGCGUAAAGGGUGCGUAGGCGGCGGGGAAAGUCAGAUGUGAAAGCCCCAGGCUCAACCUGGGAAGUGCACCCGAUACUGCUUGGCUUGAGUAUCGGAGAGGUUGGUGGAAUUCUCGGUGUAGAGGUGAAAUUCGUAGAUAUCGAGAGGAACACCGGUGGCGAAGGCGGCCAACUGGACGAAUACUGACGCUGAGACACGAAAGCGUGGGGAGCAAACAGG